rnacentral:rRNA from 1 species
ACAGGGAUUGCCUCAGUAGCGGCGAGUGAAGCGGCAAGAGCUCAGAUUUGAAAUCGUGCUUUGCGGCACGAGUUGUAGAUUGCAGGUUGGAGUCUGUGUGGAAGGCGGUGUCCAAGUCCCUUGGAACAGGGCGCCCAGGAGGGUGAGAGCCCCGUGGGAUGCCGGCGGAAGCAGUGAGGCCCUUCUGACGAGUCGAGUUGUUUGGGAAUGCAGCUCCAAGCGGGUGGUAAAUUCCAUCUAAGGCUAAAUACUGGCGAGAGACCGAUAGCGAACAAGUACUGUGAAGGAAAGAUGAAAAGCACUUUGAAAAGAGAGUGAAACAGCACGUGAAAUUGUUGAAAGGGAAGGGUAUUGCGCCCGACAUGGGGAUUGCGCACCGCUGCCUCUCGUGGGCGGCGCUCUGGGCUUUCCCUGGGCCAGCAUCGGUUCUUGCUGCAGGAGAAGGGGUUCUGGAACGUGGCUCUUCGGAGUGUUAUAGCCAGGGCCAGAUGCUGCGUGCGGGGACCGAGGACUGCGGCCGUGU